rnacentral:rRNA from 1 species
GACGAACGCUGGCGGCGUGCUUAACACAUGCAAGUCGAACGGAAAGGCCCUGCUUUUGCUGCGUGCUCGUGAGGCGAGCGGGGGAGUAUCACGCGAGUAACCUCCCCUUGACAGUGUGAUAACAUCAGGAAACUGGGGCGCAUACCGCAGAGGAUCUCCUGCUCCGUGGGGUGCAUUGGUAAGAUUCGGCGGUUGGGGAUGGACUCGAUGCUUAUCAGCUUGUUGGUCUGGUAGUGACUUACCAAGGCUUUGACGGGUAGCCGGCCUGAGAGGGUUAACGGCGACAUGGGGACUGAGGUACGGACCAGACGGCAACGGGAGGCAGCGGUGGGGAAUAUUGCGGAAUGGGCGCAAGUCUGAUGCAGCGACGCUGCGUGCGGGAUGCUGGCCUUCGGGUUGUAAACAGCUUUCGACUGUGCCGAAGCGAUCGUGACGGUAACUGGUCAGGAAGCCACGGCUAACUACGUG